CUUAAUAAAGGCUUUCUGGUUUUGGCAUGCAAGCAGGAGAGCAAGCAAGAAAGGAAGCAGCUUGAGUUACUUGAAAUGCUGAGGUGGAGGCGUUUGAGAAGCUGUGAAGGGAGAGGUGUUUUAUGAGCCUGAAUGGAGAGCAGCUACAGAAAUUCUGAUGGGCCUCCUGAAGUAGCCAUGAAAAGUGGUUGCUAAACCCUAAUUUUUCGUUUUUGCCAUUGGUAGAGAAGAUGGUACGGAACAUAGUCAACAAAACACAGAUCCAUAUGCACUGCCCCAAGAAGCCUAGCCACGGGAUUUUUCUACUGACAUUCGUGGGGUUUGGCCUGAAAGAUAGCACAAUAGCUACUACUUUCACCAGAAGAUGUAAAGGGUAAAAUAACUCACUGAAAAUUAGACAGAAGUAUCGCUUUAAGAAACAGCCAAAUAAGCCCAGGUACCCUCAAGCUUGCCCUCCUUUAUGAAAUAAUUUAGCUAAAGCUGAAGUGGAAGUCCACCUCAAAAUGCUGCAGAAUACAGAUAUGCUCAAAAUUCUGGACUUACGGAGAGGAUACUUCCCAUCUCAGAGAACUUAUCUUACUACUAAAAAAGCUCUCCUGUUGAUGAUCCUAUGUAUAAAGAAGAGAUAAUAUAACUGUGCUUUGACAGUGUUUCAUCAGUUAAAAAAACCAAUCUCCUGGAAAACACAGUAGAGUAUGAUAUGCAAGACUAAAACAAGCAACAGUGGAAAAAAGGGAUGCUAAAGUAAUAGUAAGUUGUGCUCACCAACAAUAGCAAAGGGCAUGACUCAAGAAAUGUAUAUUUAUACAAUAUGGGAACAGAUAACUGGGAAAAUGGAUCGGCAAUACGCGUUAAGCUCAGUUAACAGAAGGGUUUCUACAGAGAAACAGACUCAUCCUGAAAAUGAAGACAUUAUUACACAAGGUGGCAGCCAGGAGCACUUUAUUUUCACGGUUCUGGAAGAAUUUUUCUGUAACUGAG